rnacentral:rRNA from 1 species
GACGAACGCUGGCGGCGUGCUUAACACAUGCAAGUCGAACGGAAAGGCCCUGCUUGCAGGGUACUCGAGUGGUGAACGGGUGAGUAACACGUGGGUGAUCUGCCCUGCACUUCGGGAUAAGCCUGGGAAACUGGGUCUAAUACCGGAUAGGAGCCAUUUUUAGUGUGAUGGUUGGAAAGUUUUUUCGGUGUAGGAUGAGCUCGCGGCCUAUCAGCUUGUUGGUGGGGUAAUGGCCUACCAAGGCGGCGACGGGUAGCCGGCCUGAGAGGGUGGACGGCCACAUUGGGACUGAGAUACGGCCCAGACUCCUACGGGAGGCAGCAGUGGGGAAUAUUGCACAAUGGGCGCAAGCCUGAUGCAGCGACGCCGCGUGGGGGAUGACGGCCUUCGGGUUGUAAACUCCUUUCGCUAGGGACGAAGCUUUUUGUAACGGUACCUAGAUAAGAAGCACCGGCUAACUACGUG